GGUUUCUCCUAAGACCAUCGGAAAACACAGAUAUUUGCAUUAUGAUUUAUAACAGUAGCAAAAUUACAAGUUUUCAUAACUGUAGCAACAAAAAUAAUUUUAUGGUUGGGGGGGUCACCACACUAUGAGGAACUGUAUUAAAAGGCUGCAGUUUUAGGACAGUUGAGGACACUGCUCUAGAACACUGGCUACGUUGUCCUUGGCAACGGCAGGUAUCUGGGAGGAGGAAGUCUAGAUCCUCCAGGAUGCAAAGACUGAUGGGAGAAUGGAGGAGGAAGCAACAUGGCAGGGCAGAGUGAACAUGAUGGGGCUGGGAAUGAAGUAAGCAUACUGCCUUUGAGUAGAUAAUCAUUGUGCAGAGAGAAGACGGGAGACAGCUGACCCUACCUUCUGGUUUCUGACAGAAUGAGGUCCACGACAAAACUGGAGG
rnacentral:lncRNA from 1 species